rnacentral:rRNA from 1 species
UACGUAGGGGGCAAGCGUUGUCCGGAUUUACUGGGCGUAAAGCGCAUGUAGGCGGCUCGGAAAGUCGGAUGUGAAAGCCCAGGGCUCAACCCUGGAAGUGCACUCGAAACUCCCGAGCUGGAGUCCCGGAGAGGAAGGCGGAAUUCUCGGUGUAGAGGUGAAAUUCGUAGAUAUCGAGAGGAACACCUGUGGCGAAGGCGGCCUUCUGGACGGUGACUGACGCUGAGAUGCGAAAGCGUGGGGAGCAAACAGG